GAGGGUUUUAUAACCCACUUCCACCCUGCUGGUUGGUUUGGGAUGGAGGGUUACAGGUUUGGGAUGGAGGGUUACAGGUUUGGGAUGGAGGGUUACAGGUUUGUGCAGCAGGCCUCUGCUUGACAGUUUAAGAAAGAGACACCAGGAUUUACUCCACAACAAAAUAUAAUUUAAUGAAUUCACUUUUCACCGUGUCGAUCACAAAUCUAUAUGGAUGUAAAAAAUGAAACGCAGAAAGGUAAGAUGAUCCAGAACUCUCCUCUGUCUUAAUGUAAGGCAUGCAGUCUCCACAGAGCUUUGGACAUUGAAAGCUACAGGUCAUUACAGCAGGACACACUGCCACUAAUACACACACA